AUGGCGGCGAAGGAGGCCUUUCUCGCCGUCGUCCUGCUCCUGUCCUUGCUGAGCUCGCCGCUGCCGUCGGGCGCCCAGGCAUCGGUGUUCCCCGUCAAUGUCUGGCCCAAGCCGACGUCCAUGUCCUGGGCAGAGCCUCUCGCCGCCAUACCGGUGUCCGCGUCGUUCCGCAUCGUGGGGACGUCCGGGAACAGCCCGUACCUCGUCUCCGCCACGCAGCGCUACACCGCGCUGCUCUUCGCCGAGAGGUACAGGCCCAUCGUGCGGCCGGCGGUCAAUGUCACCGCUGGGGGCCCCGCGCUCCAGAGCCUGACCGUGUCCGUGUCCGACCUGUCCGCCCCGCUCCAGGACGGCGUGGACGAGUCCUACGAGCUGGAAAUCCUCCCCACGGGCGUGGCCACCAUCACGGCGGCCACGGUGUGGGGCGCCAUGCACGGGUUGGAGUCGUUCUCGCAGCUCGCGUGGAGGGGCCGGCAAGGGGAGCUGCUGGUGGCCGCCGGCGUGCGCGUGGAGGACAAGCCUUUGUACCAGCACCGUGGCCUGAUGCUCGACACCGGGAGGACCUACUUCCCCGUCGUCGACAUCCUGCGGACCAUCGACACCAUGGCGGCCAACAAGAUGAACGUGUUCCACUGGCACAUCACGGACUCGCAGUCGUUCCCCAUCGAGCUGCCGUCCGAGCCGAUGCUCGCUGAGAUGGGCGCGUACGGUGAGGACAUGAGGUACACCGUCAAGGACGUCCAGCGCAUCGUCGAGUUCGCCAUGAGCCGCGGCGUCCGCGUCGUGCCGGAGAUCGACGCACCUGGCCACACGGCGUCGUGGGCCGGCGCGUACCCGGAGGCGGUCUCCUGCGCGGGCAAGUUCUGGCUGCCGGACGCGAGCGACUGGGGCAGCAGGCUCGCGGCCGAGCCGGGGUCCGGCCAGCUGAACCCGCUGGAGCCCAAGACGUACGAGGUGGUGGCCAACAUCAUCAACGACAUCACCUCCAUGUUCCCGGAGGGCCUCUACCACGCCGGCGCCGACGAGGUGACGCCGGGAUGCUGGGAGACGGACCCGUCGAUCCAGGCGGACAUGGAGAAGGGCGGCACCCUGAGCCAGCUCCUGGAGCGGUACGUGCGCGCGGUGCACCCGCACGUGGUGUCCAAGAACCGCACGGUGGUGUUCUGGGAGGACGUGCUGCUGGACGUGGAGGUGAACGUGAGCUCGUCGGUGAUCCCGCCCGCCACCACCAUCCUGCAGACGUGGAACAACGGGGCCAACAACACGAAGCUGAUCGUGCAGGCCGGUUACCGCGCCAUCGUCUCCUCGGCCUCCUUCUACUACCUCGACUGCGGCCACGGCGACUUCGUCGGGAACAACAGCGUGUACGACGACCAGAGGAGCGACUACAAGACGGACGGGGGCUCCUGGUGCGGGCCGUUCAAGACGUGGCAGCGGGUGUACGACUACGACAUCGCGUACGGGCUCACGGCGGAGGAGGCCAAGCUGGUCAUCGGCGGCGAGGUGGCGCUGUGGACGGAGCAGGCCGACUCCACGGUGCUGGACGCCAGGAUCUGGCCGCGGGCGUCGGCCAUGGCGGAGGCGCUGUGGUCCGGCAACCGCGACGCGUCCGGCCGGAAGCGGUACGCGGAGGCCACGGACAGGCUCAACGACUGGCGGCACCGCAUGGUGGGGCGAGGGAUCCGCGCCGAGCCCAUCCAGCCGCUCUGGUGCCGCACGCGCCCCGGAAUGUGCGACCUGGUUCGAUGA
rnacentral:rRNA from 1 species